CACGUAGGGCGCAAGCGUUGUCCGGAAUUAUUGGGCGUAAAGAGCUCGUAGGCGGGUUGUCACGUCUGCUGUGAAAAGCUGGGGCUUAACCCUGGCCUUGCAGUGGAUACGGGCAGACUAGAGGUAGGUAGGGGAGAAUGGAAUUCCCGGUGUAGCGGUGAAAUGCGCAGAUAUCGGGAGGAACACCGGUGGCGAAGGCGGUUCUCUGGGCCUUACCUGACGCUGAGGAGCGAAAGCGUGGGGAGCAAACAGG
rnacentral:rRNA from 1 species